CCUACUGGGGGCAGCAGUGGGGAAUAUUGGGCAAUGGGCGCAAGCCUGACCCAGCAACGCCGCGUGAAGGAAGAAGGCUUUCGGGUUGUAAACUUCUUUUCUUAGGGACGAAGCAAGUGACGGUACCUGAGGAAUAAGCCACGGCUAACUACGUGCCAGCAGCCGCGGUAAUACGUAGGUGGCAAGCGGUAUCCGGAUUUACUGGGUGUAAAGGGUGUGUAGGCGGGACUGCAAGUCAGAUGUGAAAACCAUGGGCUCAACCUAUGGCCUGCAUUUGAAACUGUGGUUCUUGAGUACUGGAGAGGCAGACGGAAGUCCUGGUGUAGCGGUGAAAUGCGUAGAUAUUAGGAGGAACACCAGUGGCGAAGGCGGUCUGCUGGACAGCAACUGACGCUGAGGCGCGAAAGCGUGGGGAGCAAACAGGAUUAGAUACCCGGGUAGUC
rnacentral:rRNA from 1 species